ACGUUUUAAGAGUACGAGAUUAAAUGCCAACAAAUAAAGUUGGUAUAUCGAGCCAAACUCUGCUACCACUUCAACCAUUGGAGCUGGUUUCACAGAUAUUGAACAUGAAGUGGAGAGGAAUAUCAUUAAGAACCAUCCGAGAGAGGUUGGUAGACAUCACACUCAUGGCUUGCAAGCUUCAAAGGGAGCAGAGCAAAACGAGUGGCCCACAAGCAGGCGAGGCUCGAGACGACCUUCCGUCCCUAUAGUGGUCACACGUGAAACCCAAUUGCGUGGUUGUGCAGCAGUAGGGACCAGUGGCUAUCGCAUCACUGGACAAAUAGUGUUCACAACUUAGGUCAUUGUCAAAUUAGACUGCGCUCCAAAUCUACCAAAGUCUUUUGAAAUUCAUCACACCAAAUGAGCACAACAUACGGAAACCUGUAUUACAAUUUAUUUAUUUAUUUAUUUAUUUUUGUUUAA